UACAGAGGUCUCAAGCGUUGUUCGGAUUCAUUGGGCGUAAAGGGUGCGCAGGCGGCGCGGUAAGUCGGGUGUGAAAUCUCGGAGCUUAACUCCGAAACUGCAUUCGAUACUGCCGUGCUUGAGGACUGGAGAGGAGACUGGAAUUUACGGUGUAGCGGUGAAAUGCGUAGAUAUCAGGAGGAACACCGGUGGCGAAGGCGGGUCUCUGGGCCGAUACUGACGCUGAGGAGCGAAAGCGUGGGGAGCGAACAGG
rnacentral:rRNA from 1 species